rnacentral:rRNA from 1 species
CCUACGGGGGGCUGCAGUGGGGAAUAUUGGACAAUGGGGGCAACCCUGAUCCAGCCAUGCCGCGUGUGUGAAGAAGGCCCUCGGGUUGUAAAGCACUUUCAGUGAGGAAGAACGCCUGGUGGUUAAUACCCAUCAGGAAAGACAUCACUCACAGAAGAAGCACCGGCUAACUCCGUGCCAGCAGCCGCGGUAAUACGGAGGGUGCGAGCGUUAAUCGGAAUUACUGGGCGUAAAGCGCGCGUAGGUGGCUUGAUAAGCCGGUUGUGAAAGCCCCGGGCUCAACCUGGGAAUGGCAUCCGGAACUGUCAAGCUAGAGUGCAGGAGAGGAAGGUAGAAUUCCCGGUGUAGCGGUGAAAUGCGUAGAGAUCGGGAGGAAUACCAGUGGCGAAGGCGGCCUUCUGGACUGACACUGACACUGAGGUGCGAAAGCGUGGGUAGCAAACAGGACUAGAUACCCUAGUAGUC